rnacentral:sRNA from 1 species
CACCGCCUGGGGAGUACGACCGCAAGGUUAAAACUCAAAUGAAUUGACGGGGACCCGCACAAGUAGUGGAGCAUGUGGUUUAAUUCGAAGAUACGCGCAGAACCUUACCAACACUUGACAUGUUCGUCGCGACUUUAAGAGAUUAAAGUUUUCGGUUCGGCCGGACGAAACACAGGUGCUGCAUGGCUGUCGUCAGCUCGUGUCGUGAGAUGUUGGGUUAAGUCCCGCAACGAGCGCAACCCUCACUUUUAGUUGCCAUCAUUUAGUUGGGCACUCUGAAAGAACUGCCAGUGAUAAGCUGGAGGAAGGUGGGGAUGACGUCAAGUCCUCAUGGCCCUUACGUGUUGGGCUACACACGUGCUACAAUGGUAUUUACAAAAGGAAGCAAGACGGCGACGUUAAGCAAAUCCUUAAAAAAUACCUCAGUUCGGAUUGCACUCUGCAACUCGAGUGCAUGAAGCUGGAAUUACUAGUAAUCGUGGAUCAGCGUGCCACGGUGAAUGCGUUCCCGGGUCUUGUACACACCGCCCGUCACACCAUGGGAGUUGGUUCUACCUUAAGGCAAGGUUUUAAACCCUUGACCACGGUAUAGUCAGCGACUGGGGUGAAGUCGUAACAAGGUAGCCGUAGGGGAACCUGCGGCUGGAUUACCUCCUUUCUAAGGAUGAGUGAAAUAUUAUUUCACUCUAAAUAAUAUACAGGUUAAUGUUGACCGUCCUCAUUUCUCUUCUUAAAGUAGUGUUUCUCUUGCAUGGGGGCCGGUAGCUCAGUUGGUUAGAGCACACCCUUGAUAAGGGUGGGGUCGAAAGUUCGAGUCUUUCUCGGCCCACCAAUUUAAGAUCAUGGGGGAUUAGCUCAGCUGGGAGAGCGCCUGAUUUGCAUUCAGGAGGUCAGCGGUUCGAUCCCGCUAUCCUCCACCAGAAAUACUUAGUUAUAUAAAAUCGUGAAUAAAAAUAAUUAAUAUCAAUAUCUAUAUCCGAACAUUAGAAAUGUUAUUAGCUAAUGUUCAAACAAAAAUUUGAUUCAACACAGAAUUUUUUUCUG